rnacentral:misc_RNA from 1 species
CUUUUUACGUAUAGCUUGUAUGAAAAAACAAAAAGUUGAAUAAUAACUUUUAAAAUUUUCAGAAAAAUUAAAAACACCGAAAAAAAGGGCCGAAACAAAACAGUUGUUUGCUUGCGUGGUGCUUAAAAAUAACCGAAUGCGACCACUGCGGCUUAGUGUUCAAAAAUCGAGAAUGCUUGGUAACACACGUCUACUACGCGCACAUAAUGAACGGAGUGAGGGCAACACCCCAGUGUCACGUCUGUAAGAAAAAAUUUCCCUACAACUGGCUGGUGUUCCACCAUUUUGUGAAGUACCACUUCAAUGAUUUUAUUAACUUGAACGAAUAUCGC